CUUCUCUUCUCUUCUCUUCUCUAUGAUAUUCGGUUUAUAUAUAGAUGGAAUUUGCUACAGGAGGAUAGAGCUGAUGAGAUCAAAGAUGCUUAAAAUCCCAAGGAUGAACCACCACGUUGAAGGUAUUUGUCCUUGACGGAUAUUUCCACUUCUCCAUUGAUUGUUUUUAUUUGGAGAAGUUGAUUUUUCCCCCUUUCCCUUCUUUUCUGGGUUUUUUCCCAACGCUAUAUGUUGCAACAUCUUUUGAUAUUAUAUCGGUAACAAGUUCAAAUUUUUAUCAAGAUAUGUGGACCAAUUGUUGUAUGGUUGUUCAAAAAUCAAUAAAAGAGAAUGGAAUGAAAAGUGGACAUUGAGGGGAAGAUCUUGGCCUAUGCGAUCGCAUAGACCAUUUAGGCAUGCGGUUGCAUUGGCGAUUGCAGAAAAUUCAGCCCUCUCAAUUUUUGAUCUAUGCGACAGUAUAGAUUUGUUCUAUGCGAUCGCAUAGAAGGUAGAUAUGGCUGGUUAUGGCCAUUAACAAUUUGAAUUUGGUGGCUUUUGAAGAAUUUUUUACACCACUUCAUAUGACAUUAUUUGAUGUGUGUGUGAUUGUAGUUCAAGAAAUAAUAUUAGAAAAUCAAAUAAAAUCAUAGAGCCACAAUUGAGAUAAUUUUCUUCAUUCCAAAGCAUUGAAAAAUCCAUUUCUUCUCAUAUUCAAAUCUCUUUUACAUUCUCAGGUAUUGGAGGAUUUCACUGGUGCUUGAGUGUUAAAUCAUUGUCAAGGUUUGAUAAAUCCUGAAUCAUUUGCCAAAUCCCUUCAAGCAUCUAUACUCUAUUCGAGAGAGGGCAAAUAUCGUUUGAGCACAACUAUAAGGUGUUUAGGCCUUCAUUUUCAUAGUUUUGAUUUUUUGUUUCUUCUCCAUUCCGUUCUUUGCAAAGUCAUAUUUUCAACACCACUUUUUGUAUUGUAU
rnacentral:lncRNA from 1 species